rnacentral:rRNA from 1 species
GACAGAGGGGGCAAGCGUUGCUCGGAAUUACUGGGCGUAAAGGGCGCGUAGGCGGGAUGGCAAGUCGGUCGUGAAAUCCUUCGGCUCAACCGAAGAACGUCGAUCGAUACUGCUGUUCUUGAGGGUUGCAGAGGAGACUGGAAUUCCCGGUGUAGUGGUGGAAUGCGUAGAUAUCGGGAGGAACACCAGUGGCGAAGGCGGCUUCCUGGACCGGUUCUGACACUGAGGAGCGAAAGCGUGGGGAGCGAUCCGG